ensembl:lncRNA
CUGAUCACAGCUUUCAUGUGUCUUUGCAUGCUCUCCACCAAUCUUUCACAUUACUGUUGGUUGACUUUAUGCCACUCCUGGUGCAAAAACUCAAGCAGCUACGCUUUAAGUAGAAACCAUUGACCCACACUCACCCUCUCUGAAAAGCUUCCUCUUUCUUUGUUAAAGUGUUGUAGUUUCCUGGUGUGUCAGUAGAGCUGCUGUCUGUCUGUCAGUGAAGACGCUGCGUGAGACUCGAUCUGACUCUCUUCUGCUGGGAUUGAGCUCUUCUGGAGACUGGACUUUAGAGAAAUGAUGCUGAUCUUUGGACUGAUGCUGCUGCUGCAAACUGCUGCAUGUCUGGAUCGGUUCUGCAGUUUUAAUCAAUCUGAUCCCUGUCACGCAGCUCUGGGACACAAACUCAAUCUGCUGAUGGUGCGGGAUGCUAGAGAAUAUGACCUGAGGUUAUGUCACAGAAUAAACAACACACAAGAUGAUCCAGUUUGCAGAGUAAAAUAUGGCAGGAUAAAGGAAUGUGAUCUUUAUAAUAACAGACCUGAAGUGAAUAUCAUUAAUGGGACUGUGAUAAUAAAACGUGUGAUCAGAGCAGAUUCUGGGAAUUACAUAUUAACACUCACUGACUCAGACGGCACAGAAACAUCUAGAGAUCUUCAAGUGAUUGUUGAAGCUCCAAUUGGCUCAGUGGAAGUGUCAAUCAUCUGCUCCUCCAGUGGGGUGAUGAGGGUGUUCUGCUCCUCUGAGGGGGAUCAGCUCCUCUACAGCUGGACUCUGAAUGGAGGUCCACUGAUGGAUGGAAACAGCAGCAUUGAUCUGGAUGAGGGAACUGAUGGAGACAUCAGCUGCAGCGUGAAGAACCACGUCAGUCACGCACAGAAGAACAUUAGAGCCAAACCCUGUCCUGGACCAACUACUGCAGCUGUGACCUCUAGUUUGACCUCUACGUCGACACAGACAUCAGAAUAUGGUCUGGAAGUAAGAUGCAGUUUUAAUCAAUCUGAUCCCUGUUACGCAGCUCUGGAACACAAACUCAAUCUGCUGAUUGAGCGGGACGCUCGAAAAUAUGAUCUGAAGAUAAUAAAGAGAAUAAACAACACACAAGAUGAUCCAAUUUGUAGAGUAAAAUAUGGCAGGAAAAAGGAAUGUGAUCUUUAUAAUAACAGAAUUGAAGUGAAUAUCAUUAAUGCGACUGUGAUAAUAAACCGUGUGAUCAGAGAAGAUUCUGGGAAUUACAGAUUACUACUCUUUCACUCAGACGGCACAGAAACAUCUAGAGAUCUUCAAGUGAUUGUUGAAGCUCCUAUUGGCUCAGUGGAAGUGUCAAUCAUCUGCUCCUCCAGUGGGGUGAUGAGGGUGUCCUGCUCCUCUGAGGGGGAUCAGCUCCUCUACAGCUGGACUCUGAAUGGAGAUCCACUGAUGGAUGGAAACAGCAGCAUUGAUCUGGAUGAGGGAACUGAUGGAGACAUCAGCUGCAGCGUGAAGAACCACGUCAGUCACACACAGAAGAACAUUAGACUAGUCUGUCCUACUGGUGAGCUUCUAAUACAUGAAUGAAGUAUUUGCUAGACAACAGAAACAUCAACAAGAGUGAGGCAGAAUCUCACAAAACCUGUCAAAGUCACAUUUCUCCACUGAAUCCCCUUAUGACAGAAUUAAGUAUCUUUGAAGUGUAUUUUGGUGGAUUGUAAUGGUUUUAACUCAUAGACUGUAACUCUCCUUUUUGGUUGAUUCUUAAGGAAAGAUUAUUAAUAAAGUGAGGCUAGGUUUAUGGUCUCA